rnacentral:lncRNA from 1 species
AGACGUUUUAGGACAAGUGAGUGGCCAAGACAAGAAGCUAUGUGCAGAGCCCACGGAGACAAGGGAAAGAAAGGGCAAGGGAGAUUACUGGUCAUCUGGUCUCUUUGAUCACAGAACCAUUAUGAAAUGUUAGCUCUGUGGCACCAGAAUCCCCAUACUUCCAGAUUGACGGGAAUUCGGGGCCGAACUUGUUGAGAUUGCAUGAAAGUGACAGAAAAGAAGACUAAGCUUCCUGAUCCAGUUUAGAAAGAAUUGCUGACAAUGUGCCUCCCACCUGUGAAAACAAAACCAAACAAACAAAAAGCCCUGGGAUCACUGCAAAUCCAUCCACAAAAGGCACUCCCACCUUCAAGUGUCAGGUUACUUCUAUUGAAAAGGACUCAGAGAUGUGUACCCGGAAGAGAUCAAGUUCUAACCUGAAACCAACCUUGCGUGGGAGAUUUGGUAAUAACUUCUACCCAGAGGAAGAUAAAAAACAUUGUUUUUCUUUUGUUUUGUUUUGUCUUGGUUUGGUUUUGGUUUUUCGAGACCGGGUUUCGUUGUGUAGCCCUGGCUGUCCUGGAACUCACUUUGUAGACCAGGCUGGCCUCGAACUCAGAAAUCCACAUUGUUAGUGAUUCCACAAUGUGACUCAGGAUGUUGCUGUUUUUCAUGGUUCUUAAAAUCUGCAGCAUUUAUUUAUACAUCCUGAAGAUGCAUUCGGCUGGCAGGCAGCCUUGUUUAUGGUGUCCAUUCACAUCUUUACUGAGGUGAAAACCCCUCAAUGUUUCAGAUUUUCAGCAUCCACAUGAAAACAGGAAAGAAAAGCUUCAGUCAUGAGUAACGAAAAGCUGAACCCACAUUUAUAGAAUUCUAUUUCCUGAUGUAUUUAGAAAUGAUGAUUAUAAAAUAAUUUGGAUAUUAUUAAUAACAUCCUUCAUAACAUUCUUUUUUCUUGUUGCUAAUAGAGGUGACAGUCUAUUUUGAUAUUUAAGCAACCUGGUUAUUUUAGUGGUACAAAUAUAUGUCAGAUUUUCGAUAUUGAUCAUUUUUCUGUAACAGUAAAAUGCUAAUGUUGAAGCUGAUUAAUGGAAGGGAUAAGUUAUUCCUGAGGACCCUGCUACUUUCUUAUUCACUAGCUUAUUUCAACUUGGUAUUAAACAGCUUAGUUAGCAAUAUUUGAGCACUAAGGUUAUAAACAAGAAAACUCAAAAAACCAAAAAUACAACACU